rnacentral:lncRNA from 1 species
AGUUCUUUAAAUGGAGUUCCUGCAGACUGAAACUUGGAACUGCUAAGUGAGAGGAACGUUGUGAUGACACAAGUGGCUAAGUGCAUUGUGGUACACCUGCUAUCCUGGUUUUUAUAAGUGCUUGAGACAUUUGGAUGAACAGCUGAAAAGAAGAACAAAAAUGCUUAAAAAUCUAACCAUGGAAAAAGCCUAACUACCUAACCAUGAGUCUUCUGAAAUGGGGCACCCACAAGAUAGAUGCAUCUUGACUGUCAGUACUCAAAAAGAAGCUGUUGGUGUGUCCUGUCAGUGAUGAUCUUUGUUCUU